GAGUGUUAAAACUCCAAACCUUUGUGAACAUACUACUGUUGCUUCGGCGGCCUCGCCCCGCGGCGCGCUCUGCGUGACCCGGGCCAAGGCGACCGCCGGAGGCACCAAACACUGUCUUUAUAGUGGAUUUCUGAGUGACAUAAGCAAAUAAAUCAAAACUUUCAGCAACGGAUCUCUUGGUUCU
rnacentral:misc_RNA from 1 species